GGGUUGUGAGGUUAAGCGACUAAGCGUACACGGUGGAUGCCCUGGCAGUCAGAGGCGAUGAAGGACGUGCUAAUCUGCGAUAAGCGUCGGUAAGGUGAUAUGAACCGUUAUAACCGGCGAUUUCCGAAUGGGGAAACCCAGUGUGUUUCGACACACUAUCAUUAACUGAAUCCAUAGGUUAAUGAGGCGAACCGGGGGAACUGAAACAUCUAAGUACCCCGAGGAAAAGAAAUCAACCGAGAUUCCCCCAGUAGCGGCGAGCGAACGGGGAGCAGCCCAGAGCCUGAAUCAGUGUGUGUGUUAGUGGAAGCGUCUGGAAAGGCGCGCGAUACAGGGUGACAGCCCCGUACACAAAAAUGCACAUGCUGUGAGCUCGAUGAGUAGGGCGGGACACGUGGUAUCCUGUCUGAAUAUGGGGGGACCAUCCUCCAAGGCUAAAUACUCCUGACUGACCGAUAGUGAACCAGUACCGUGAGGGAAAGGCGAAAAGAACCCCGGCGAGGGGAGUGAAAAAGAACCUGAAACCGUGUACGUACAAGCAGUGGGAGCACGCUUAGGCGUGUGACUGCGUACCUUUUGUAUAAUGGGUCAGCGACUUAUAUUCUGUAGCAAGGUUAACCGAAUAGGGGAGCCGAAGGGAAACCGAGUCUUAACUGGGCGUUAAGUUGCAGGGUAUAGACCCGAAACCCGGUGAUCUAGCCAUGGGCAGGUUGAAGGUUGGGUAACACUAACUGGAGGACCGAACCGACUAAUGUUGAAAAAUUAGCGGAUGACUUGUGGCUGGGGGUGAAAGGCCAAUCAAACCGGGAGAUAGCUGGUUCUCCCCGAAAGCUAUUUAGGUAGCGCCUCGUGAAUUCAUCUCCGGGGGUAGAGCACUGUUUCGGCAAGGGGGUCAUCCCGACUUACCAACCCGAUGCAAACUGCGAAUACCGGAGAAUGUUAUCACGGGAGACACACGGCGGGUGCUAACGUCCGUCGUGAAGAGGGAAACAACCCAGACCGCCAGCUAAGGUCCCAAAGUCAUGGUUAAGUGGGAAACGAUGUGGGAAGGCCCAGACAGCCAGGAUGUUGGCUUAGAAGCAGCCAUCAUUUAAAGAAAGCGUAAUAGCUCACUGGUCGAGUCGGCCUGCGCGGAAGAUGUAACGGGGCUAAACCAUGCACCGAAGCUGCGGCAGCGACGCUUAUGCGUUGUUGGGUAGGGGAGCGUUCUGUAAGCCUGUGAAGGUGUACUGUGAGGUAUGCUGGAGGUAUCAGAAGUGCGAAUGCUGACAUAAGUAACGAUAAAGCGGGUGAAAAGCCCGCUCGCCGGAAGACCAAGGGUUCCUGUCCAACGUUAAUCGGGGCAGGGUGAGUCGACCCCUAAGGCGAGGCCGAAAGGCGUAGUCGAUGGGAAACAGGUUAAUAUUCCUGUACUUGGUGUUACUGCGAAGGGGGGACGGAGAAGGCUAUGUUGGCCGGGCGACGGUUGUCCCGGUUUAAGCGUGUAGGCUGGUUUUCCAGGCAAAUCCGGAAAAUCAAGGCUGAGGCGUGAUGACGAGGCACUACGGUGCUGAAGCAACAAAUGCCCUGCUUCCAGGAAAAGCCUCUAAGCAUCAGGUAACAUCAAAUCGUACCCCAAACCGACACAGGUGGUCAGGUAGAGAAUACCAAGGCGCUUGAGAGAACUCGGGUGAAGGAACUAGGCAAAAUGGUGCCGUAACUUCGGGAGAAGGCACGCUGAUAUGUAGGUGAAGUCCCUCGCGGAUGGAGCUGAAAUCAGUCGAAGAUACCAGCUGGCUGCAACUGUUUAUUAAAAACACAGCACUGUGCAAACACGAAAGUGGACGUAUACGGUGUGACGCCUGCCCGGUGCCGGAAGGUUAAUUGAUGGGGUCAGCGCAAGCGAAGCUCUUGAUCGAAGCCCCGGUAAACGGCGGCCGUAACUAUAACGGUCCUAAGGUAGCGAAAUUCCUUGUCGGGUAAGUUCCGACCUGCACGAAUGGCGUAAUGAUGGCCAGGCUGUCUCCACCCGAGACUCAGUGAAAUUGAACUCGCUGUGAAGAUGCAGUGUACCCGCGGCAAGACGGAAAGACCCCGUGAACCUUUACUAUAGCUUGACACUGAACAUUGAGCCUUGAUGUGUAGGAUAGGUGGGAGGCUUUGAAGUGUGGACGCCAGUCUGCAUGGAGCCGACCUUGAAAUACCACCCUUUAAUGUUUGAUGUUCUAACGUUGACCCGUGAUCCGGGUUGCGGACAGUGUCUGGUGGGUAGUUUGACUGGGGCGGUCUCCUCCUAAAGAGUAACGGAGGAGCACGAAGGUUGGCUAAUCCUGGUCGGACAUCAGGAGGUUAGUGCAAUGGCAUAAGCCAGCUUGACUGCGAGCGUGACGGCGCGAGCAGGUGCGAAAGCAGGUCAUAGUGAUCCGGUGGUUCUGAAUGGAAGGGCCAUCGCUCAACGGAUAAAAGGUACUCCGGGGAUAACAGGCUGAUACCGCCCAAGAGUUCAUAUCGACGGCGGUGUUUGGCACCUCGAUGUCGGCUCAUCACAUCCUGGGGCUGAAGUAGGUCCCAAGGGUAUGGCUGUUCGCCAUUUAAAGUGGUACGCGAGCUGGGUUUAGAACGUCGUGAGACAGUUCGGUCCCUAUCUGCCGUGGGCGCUGGAGAACUGAGGGGGGCUGCUCCUAGUACGAGAGGACCGGAGUGGACGCAUCACUGGUGUUCGGGUUGUCAUGCCAAUGGCACUGCCCGGUAGCUAAAUGCGGAAGAGAUAAGUGCUGAAAGCAUCUAAGCACGAAACUUGCCCCGAGAUGAGUUCUCCCUGACUCCUUGAGAGUCCUGAAGGAACGUUGAAGACGACGACGUUGAUAGGCCGGGUGUGUAAGCGCAGCGAUGCGUUGAGCUAACCGGUACUAAUGAACCGUGAGGCUUAACCUUACAACGCCGAAGCUGUU
rnacentral:rRNA from 1 species